AGAGUUUGAUCCUGGCUCAGAGCGAACGCUGGCGGCGUACUUAACACAUGCAAGUCGAACGGGGAUCUUCGGUGUAGCAAUACAUCGGCGGUCCUAGUGGCGCACGGGUGAGUAACACGUGGGUAACCUGUCCUUGAGUUCGGGAUACCCUUUCGAAAGGAAGGCUAAUACCGGAUACGUUCCUCGGAUUGCGAAAUCUGGGGAGGAAAGGUGGCGAAAGCUACCGCUCUUGGAGGGGCUCGCGGCCUAUCAGCUAGUUGGUGAGGUAACGGCUCACCAAGGCUAUGACGGGUAGCUGGUCUGAGAGGACGACCAGCCACACGGGAACUGAGACACGGUCCCGACUCCUACGGGAGGCAGCAGUGGGGAAUUUUCCGCAAUGGGCGAAAGCCUGACGGAGUGACGCCGCGUGGGGGACGAAGGCCUUCGGGUUGUAAACCCCUGUCAGAGGGAAAGAAGGGUCGCCUGGCUAAUAUCCAGGUGAUCUGACGGUACCUUCAGAGGAAGCCCCGGCCACUCUGUGCCAGCAGCCGCGGUA
rnacentral:rRNA from 1 species